AGCCUGAACGCUGGCGGCGUGGUUAAGACAUGCAAGUCGUACGGAUGCAGCAAUGCAUCAGUGGCGAACGGGUGAGUAAUGAAUCGCUAACGUGCCCCGGACUCUGGGAUAGCUGACCGAAAGGGCAGGUAAUACCAGAUGACAUAACUUUGUCGCAUGACAAAGUUCUCAAAGGUCCGCCGGUCUGGGAGCGGGCGAUUUCGUAUCAGCUAGUUGGUAAGGUAACGGCUUACCAAGGCGACGACGCGUAGCCGGACUGAGAGGUUGGCCGGCCACAUUGGGACUGAGACACUGCCCAGACUCCUACGGGGGCUGCAGUAACGAAUCUUCCGCAAUGCACGAAAGUGUGACGGAGCGACGCCGCGUGUGGGACGAAGCCCUUCGGGGUGUAAACCACUGUCAGGGGAAAGAAGUUCUGAUCUACCCCAGAGGAAGAGGCGGCUAACUCUGCGCCAGCAGCCGCGGUAA
rnacentral:rRNA from 1 species